rnacentral:rRNA from 1 species
UACGUAGGGGGCAAGCGUUGUCCGGAAUCAUUGGGCGUAAAGCGCGUGUAGGCGGCCCGAUAAGUCCGCUGUGAAAGUCCAGGGCUCAACCCUGGGAUGCCGGUGGAUACUGGCGAUCUUGAGUCCGGGAGAGGUGAGUGGAACUGCGAGUGUAGAGGUGAAAUUCGUAGAUAUUCGCAAGAACACCAGUGGCGAAGGCGGGAUCUCUGGGCCGGAACUGACGCUGAG